AUUGAACGCUGGCGGCAGGCCUAACACAUGCAAGUCGAACGGUAACAGGAAGAAGCUUGCUUCUUUGCUGACGGGUGGCGGACGGGUGAGUAAUGUCUGGGAAACUGCCUGAUGGAGGGGGAUAACUACCGGAAACGGUAGCUAAUACCGCAUAACGUCGCAAGACCAAAGAGGGGGACCUUCGGGCCUCUUGCCAUCGGAUGUGCCCAGAUGGGAUUAGCUAGUAGGUGGGGUAACGGCUCACCUAGGCGACGAUCCCUAGCUGGUCUGAGAGGAUGACCAGCCACACUGGAACUGAGACACGGUCCAGACUCCUACGGGAGGCAGCAGUGGGGAAUAUUGCACAAUGGGCGCAAGCCUGAUGCAGCCAUGCCGCGUGUAUGAAGAAGGCCUUCGGGUUGUAAAGUACUUUCAGCGGGGAGGAAGGGAGUAAAGUUAAUACCUUUGCUCAUUGACGUUACCCGCAGAAGAAGCACCGGCUAACUCCGUG
rnacentral:rRNA from 1 species